rnacentral:lncRNA from 1 species
AAAAAGGUGGAACCAAGGUUUAAACCUGAAAACAAAGAGAACCGAUUUUUAUGAGUUUAGAGUUUUUAUGAUGCAAACAGAAAAAAAUAUGAAAACGAAUGAAAUGAUGAUGAUAAUGAUAAUAAAACAAGAUAAAUAAACAAAGGAUAGGAUGGAAUCAAGCUGCUGGAUGUGUAUCACUCUCAGCUUGAUUAGAUGAUGAACUGAAGUGGAUUUGCGGAGGAAGGUUUGAUUGAAUCUCUCAAUCUGAUGGAAUGAUGGAUCAAAGUGAUUGACUCUCUCAAUCUGUGUACUGAGCUUGUUUGAUUUGCACAAACAAACUAGACUCACGAAAUCAAUAAGACAGAAAAGAAUCCCUCUUUGGAUCCUAAAGACCGUUAUUUUAUACAAAGAACAACUUUGGUAAAACUGAAUAAACUUUCUAUUAACUUGGUGUUUAAGGGUGCUCUUUACAAUGGACGUCUAGGAGCUUAUAAAAGGCUCAGAGACAAAUGUCCUAACGUUCUAAAACAAAUAGAAAAGGAAACAAAUCAAGCAAAGUAACAAAAUCGAAAAACUAGCCGUUGGAGCCUUUUAUGGGAUUUUGGCUCCAAGUGAGAAACUUGAUUCUUCUUGAACCUGGACGGUUUUAAUGGAUAAGAGAGCUUCCUUGGGACCUUCCUGGGUGCUUGAUAGGUUCUGAUCUCGUGCCUGAUCUGAAGAGAAAAGAGCUGUUGGACAUUAAUG